CCUGGGUAGGGCUGCUCAUAUGGAGCACGGGAUUGGUCCUGAUCCCAGCACUCUUUGCUGGGUAGCCCAGGGUUUUUUUACCCAGGCUAAUAGUGGGGGGGAGGGUGUAAGUGUGCCCCUCCACCCCACUCCCUCAUUGUGUGAAUCAUCCACAAAGCUGGGUGGCAAGACCACCUGGCAGCAAGGGAUUCCCCCAAUGCACCACACGCUCCUGGCACAAUACACUGAGGGAUGCUGGAGGUCUUCUUCCUGUGGUUCCUGGCUCUGCUGCUCACUGUGGCACCACUCGUGUAUAUUGUGCAGUGUGAGGACUCACCAGGGAAGCUAGGCGGAAGUCGAAGUCAGGUUACAAGCCAGAGUCAGAAACCAGGAAGUCGGGUCCACACAGGAGGAAUAGGAAAUCAGGCCUAGUCAAGCCAAGGUCAGGAGCCAGGGGAUCAGUUCUAUGAAGGAACAGGCAAAUCGGGCCAGUCAAAGCCAGGGUCAGAAGCCAGGAGAUCAUGACAGUGUGCUGCUGAUCAAGUGCAGAAAGACAGCACACUGUCAUGAUAUCUGAGCCCGACUCUUCCUCCUCUGAGAUGGACCCUGAACCUGACCACUCCUCAUCUGUAACAGACCCCGAGCCUGACCCUGCUUCAGCCAAGACAGACCCUGAGCUUGAGACAGACUCUGAAGACCUGACUGAAGAAGCAGGACAUGAGAGUCCCCUCCUCUAGAACUUGAGGGACCCUGUGCGCAGUUGCACAAGAGUGGUCUUGCACAGAGUUGCACAAUGAAGAGCUAUUAUUUCCAAUAACCAUCCAUUGUGAAACUGCAUUUUUGCAAUUCUUAUGUUUGCACAAGAGUGCUCUUUCACAACCGUGCACACAUUUCAUUAAAAGGCACAUAUAACGUUGCAAAGUA